ensembl:lncRNA
CUCUACCAGAACCUUUGCACGAUGUGCCAGAAGGCCCACAGCCACAUGCUGCAGUUGCAGGCACAGCUCGCAGCUCCUCAGUCCAGAAGCAAUCAGAAGAUCAAAUUUCCCCCAGAUGUCAGAACCAGUCUGGCUUGCGUGUGAAAGACAAGUUAUACACAUCCCAGUCUCGCUCAUUAGAAUUUAGCCUAAGGUGAAGUGAGUUUCAGUUAAGUGGAUGAUCUCUCGUGGAUGAAGACUUCUGGCAUCCAAAGCUGUGUAGCCCUUCUGAACAUCAACUGCUAAUUGCCUUCAGCCUGUAAGAAUC